rnacentral:misc_RNA from 1 species
UCAAGAUGGCGACUGUGGCUGUAGUCGGUGCAGGAAUCAUAGGGGUUACGACUGCUUUAUCGAUCUUAGAAAAGGACCCGAGUAUCAAAGUGAAAGUAUUUGCUGAUGAAUUUAGUCCUAAUACAACUUCUGAUGGUGCAGCAGGUCUUCUAAUGCCUUAUGUUAUGGCAGACACGCCAGAUUAUCUGCAAAGAAAAUGGUUUGGUACCACAUUGAAAACUAUGAAAGCCUUACUGGACUCUGAACAAGCCCCAAAGCUUGGGAUAUUCUUAAUUACUGCUUACUGUGUNCAUGACACUCCAAUUGAUAAGGAUUAUUCCUGGAAGGAUUUGGUGUAUUCCUACAGAAGAAUGACUAAACAAGAGCUAGAGGAGUUUCCUGCUCAACCUGCAAGAUUUGGAGUUACAUUCAAUACAAUCAUUUCACAAGGCGCAUUGUUGAUACCUUGGCUAAUGAACAGAGUGAGAAACCUUGGUGGUGAUUUUAUAAAACAGCAUAUUGCAUCAUUGAGUGAGCUGUCUGAGUAUGAUGUGAUUGUGAACUGUGCUGGCAUGGGUGCCAGACAACUUAUUGGUGAUACUGNACUCAAACCAGUCAGAGGACAAGUUUUAAGAAUUAAAGCACCAUGGAUAAAACACUUGUAUCUUUACCAUGUCGAAGAAGAGAGGGAUAAGGGACAAUCUACAUAUAUCAUUCCACAAAUGGAGUCCAUUGUUAUUGGAGGCACUGCACAGUUAAACAAUUUUAAUACAAAUCCAACAACCCAAGAUACAAAUAAUAUAAUUGCUNGUGUUAGUAGGAUUGUACCUAGCAUAAAGAAUGCACCUGUUUUGGCUAACUGGGCUGGCCUCCGUCCUAGUAGAUUCUGUGUCCGACUUGAGAAAGAGACAGUGCAGUGCAGAGACAAGUAUGGACNGAAAAAAACAUUGAAUGUGGUUCAUAAUUAUGGCCACGGUGGUGCUGGUUUGUCUGUUGGCUUUGGUUGNGCUGAUGAUUGUAGCCAACUUGUUCUUAAUGUCUUGGCUGCCAAAAGGGUAUCGAAGUUAUAACGUGUUUUCGUGAAUGGAUUUUUAUUAACAAUGAACCAGAACGCAAUCAAGAUGAGUUUAUUGAAACUACUUUCAUUCCGCUGUCAUGGCUAUACUGCAUGAAAGUACGAUUUGUGUAAAAUAAAACUUAAAUCAACCGUGUGAUAAAUGUCAUAACAAUAAAUGUCAUUUAUAUUUA